GACCGCAGACCCCAGAGUGCAAAUCGCCGGUAAUUUUGCUCCGGUACCUGAGCAGCCCGUCCAUCACUCUCUCCCGGUGGAUGGUCGAAUCCCAGACUGCAUUCAAGGCGUAUACACUCGGAACGGCGCCAAUCCCCUCCACAAGCCUGUCGCCGGCCACCAUCUCUUCGACGGAGACGGCAUGGUUCACGCUGUCCAAUUCAAAGACGGCGAUGCUAGCUACGCCUGCCGCUUCACCGAGACGCAGCGUCUGAUCCAAGAGCGAGAUUUCGGCCGGCCGGUGUUCCCCAAGGCCAUCGGCGAGCUCCACGGCCACUCCGGCAUCGCUCGCCUCCUCCUCUUCUACGCUCGCGGACUCUUCGGUCUGGUCGACCACAGUCACGGCACCGGCGUUGCCAACGCUGGGCUCGUCUAUUUCAACCGUAGACUCCUCGCCAUGUCGGAGGACGACUUGC
rnacentral:lncRNA from 1 species